rnacentral:rRNA from 1 species
CACGUAGGGCGCAAGCGUUGUCCGGAAUUAUUGGGCGUAAAGAGCGUGUAGGCGGUUUGGUAGGUCCGCUGUGAAAACUCGAGGCUCAACCUCGAGACGCCGGUGGAAACCAUCAGACUAGAGUCCGGAAGAGGAGAGUGGAAUUCCUGGUGUAGCGGUGAAAUGCGCAGAUAUCAGGAAGAACACCCGUGGCUAGGCGGCUCUCUAGUACGGUACUGACGCUGAGACGCGAAAGCGUGGGGAGCGAACAGG